UGCAGGGGCCCAUACCACUUCUGUGCUU
rnacentral:piRNA from 1 species